rnacentral:rRNA from 1 species
CCAGACUCCUACGGGAGGCAGCAGUAGGGAAUCUUCGGCAAUGGACGGAAGUCUGACCGAGCAACGCCGCGUGAGUGAAGAAGGUUUUCGGAUCGUAAAGCUCUGUUGUAAGAGAAGAACGAGUGUGAGAGUGGAAAGUUCACACUGUGACGGUAUCUUACCAGAAAGGGACGGCUAACUACGUGCCAGCAGCCGCGGUAAUACGUAGGUCCCGAGCGUUGUCCGGAUUUAUUGGGCGUAAAGCGAGCGCAGGCGGUUAGAUAAGUUUGAAGUUAAAGGCUGUGGCUUAACCAUAGUACGCUUUGGAAACUGUUUAACUUGAGUGCAAGAGGGGAGAGUGGAAUUCCAUGUGUAGCGGUGAAAUGCGUAGAUAUAUGGAGGAACACCGGUGGCGAAAGCGGCUCUCUGGCUUGUAACUGACGCUGAGGCUCGAAAGCGUGGGGAGCAAACAGGAUUAGAUACCCUGGUAGUCCACGCCGUAAACGAUGAGUGCUAGGUGUUAGACCC